rnacentral:rRNA from 1 species
GAUGAACGCUGGCGGCGCGCCUAACACAUGCAAGUCGAACGAUUAAAGCACCUUCGGGUGUGUAUAAAGUGGCGAACGGCUGAGUAACACGUGGGCAACCUGCCCCUUUCAUUGGGAUAGCCACGGGAAACCGUGGAUAAUACCGAAUACUUCGAGACUUCCGCAUGGAAGACUCGAGAAAGCUCCGGCGGAGAGGGAUGGGCCCGCGGCCUGUUAGCUUGUUGGUGGGGUAACGGCCUACCAAGGCAAUGAUGGGUAGCUGGGUUGCGAGACCGACCAGCCAGAUUGGGCCUGCGACACGGCCCAGACUCCUACGGGAGGCAGCAGUGGGGAAUCUUGCACAAUGGGCGAAAGCCUGAUGCAGCGACGCCGCGUGCGGGAUGAAGGCCUUCGGGUUGUAAACCGCUUUCAGCAGGGACGAGGCGAAAGUGACGGUACCUGCAGAAGAAGCCCCGGCUAACUACGUG